rnacentral:lncRNA from 1 species
ACGAGAGAGGUUGUGUCUUGUGCUUCCAGUCCAGUUGUGGAGCCUGGGUUUUAGAAUUUAGUGGAUGUCCUAUUCAUCUGUGUUGUGGAAAAGGGCAGAGUAGUAAUUCAUGUUUUUAUUCUGAAAGAGAAUUUAUGAUUAUGAGGGUAUCUUAGAGAAUUCAUAUUGCUGAAAUUUCUUAGAAUUCUUUCCAUGUUAAAGGUUCAUAUUUUACCGAAAUAAUUCUUGGAUACCUUCAUUUAACAGUGCUCUUCAUUCUGGUUUAUAUUUAGGAAGCUCUUCAUUUGUUUUAACGGUUAUCACCCUAUCAUACAACUGUGUGUGAUCUGGCACUUCCAUUCUCCCUCUUAGAAUUUAGACUCCCCACACACUGGCAAGAAAGAAGUCUGGAAAGGAAUUCUAAGCUAUGCAAAACAAGUCACUGAUUUAUUUCACUUACACCUAGCUUAGAAGUCAUUCAUCUUCAUUUUUCACAUUAACCUUUGUAAUUCUUUUACAUUUCCUAAAAUUUCUAAUCUAUAAUUUGGGAACCAUUAUCUUAUAAAUGUUUGAAUACGGAUGCAUAGUAACUCAUCACUCCUCUGUGAGAGUUUCUCACAGAGCUCCAUUAAUUUAGUGAAAUUUUUAUGGUCAAGGGCCUGGCUUUCUGAUUGGAAAUCCAGAAACUAACAUGUGAAACUACUUCCUGACAUUGGAAAAUAAACUGGGUUUCCAAACUGUUAACUUAAAACAAGGUAUGUAUGUAACUUUUAAGUGCAUGGGAUGCUUGCUUUGGCCUGACUAGUGCAUCCUUACUCUUCUAGAAAGCUAUCUGGGAAUCUAAAUCAGAAGUUUGGCUGAUGUCACAUCAUCAUGGCAAGGAGAGCUAUAUUCUUCAAGUGUUCGAAGGAAACAGGAUGGGGUGUGCCUGGCAGGAUAUACCUGUCAGUAAGGGGUGUAUCUGCCAGACACCACCAUCUGCUUCUCAGGGCAGCUUCUUCGUGGCUAGGAGUUAGCGGAAUAAUGCUGUCAGUGUAUGUCUCUAAUUCCUCUAGUGCACCUCUCCCAGACUCUCUUCUGCUUGGCUUUCUCAUUAAUGUUAGCACACAUUUAUAGUCAAAACCUUCUUCCAUCCCGGCAGCUUGCUGCCCACCAUGGUGUUGUACAUACCUAACCAUAACCAUGUGUUGAUUUUAAUAUUUAAUGCCGAGGCUUAAUGGAAGGAAGAGUACCUAAUCAUGAUCCUCAGUUGUGACUGAGUGUAACCUCAGAUUUAGAAAAUAUCGGUCUUGGAGUUCCCGUCAUGGCUCAGUGGUUAACGAAUCUGACUAGGAACCACGAGGUGCAGGUUCGAUCCCUGGCCUCGCUCAGUGGGUUGGGGAUCUGUGGUGUAGGUCACAGACGCCGCUUGGAUUAAUGUUGCUGUGGCUGUGGUGUAGGCCGGUAGCUGUAGAUCCAAUUCAGCCCCCAGCCUGGGAACCUCCAUAUGCCGUGGGUGGUGCAGCCCUUUAAAAAAAAAAAAGAAAAUAUAGGUCAAGGUACUUAACAUUCAUCUUUACAACUAUCCAAGCAACAUUCCCAGCUUUUAAAAACCAGUAUAAGAAAAUUAUCUUUUUAGAUGCUAAAAGUGAAAAUUUUCUUUUUCUAGAAGUUAUGUGUAUGACCCUUGAAAAAAUGUAAAAGAAUUAGGCCCUCUCAUUCAGAAUCUCAAAAAGCAAUUCAAUCUAGGAAACUUGCAGUUUCCCAGAAAGGAUACAGUGUCCGGCAAGUAAGGCGAGUGCAGGAAUUGAUUAUGCGUCACCUAGUGACAGAGAGCAGAUGUUUUGUGAAUCUUUCCCUUAAGAAAUAAUUGUCAGAGGGAGGCAAUGAUUGAGUUGAUGCUGAUUGAGAUAGAGAUGAAGGGAUAUAGAGAAUCCUUUGAGACAUCCACAGACAGGGGAGAGGUUCCAGGGUAUAAUCUGAGGGGAAGAAUUGUUGCAGGUAGCAGAGACUAUUAGCAGGAGACAUGGAGAGGUACAGAGGGUUGAAUCGGAGCUGUAGCUGCCAGCCCUACGCCACAGCCACAGCAACACCAGAUCCCAGCCGCAAAUGCCACCUUCACCACAGCUCACAGCCACACCAGUUCCUUAACCCACUGAGCAAGGCCAGGGAUUGAACCCAAAUCUUCAUGGAUCCUAGUCAGGUUCAUUACCACUGAGCCACAACAGGAACUCCAGAAUAUUCUAGAACAGAAUUUUCAAAGCAUGCCAUCUCAGCAAAUAUUAUCAAGUGUGAAAAGUUACAUGGCAAUUGCCAUGUACUAGGCACUUGUUGAAGAUACUUUGUCCACAUGCUCCUCCCAACAACCUUAUUAGGAAUGUAAAAUUGUUAUUUUUUGCAUUUCCACAAAUGGAAAAGUUAGGCACAGAAAGUUAAGUAGUUUGCCCGUUAUGAUGCAGCCAUUCCUUAAUGGAUAGAACAUGAAGGCAGGUGGCCAUUUGGUGUUGCUAACCCCAAACUACCUGCGUGAAAACAAAUAGUAUCCAUGUAAGAACAAUAUCCAUACUGUGUAUAUGUGCUGUGUAUAGGGUGCUUCAAGAAACACCCUCAUUCCCAAUCCCAACCAGGAUGUUUCCUUUCAUUUUCUCCCACGUAGAUGUCCUAGAGCCUCUCCUGGAGGGAAGUGAGGGUGUGGCUCUGAGAACACUAGCAGGCAUUAGCAAGAGUAGGGGGGGGGGUACCAGAUGGGAACAGGAAAUUGGGGAGCCCCUAAUUUCCCCGGGGGAGGCAAGGAGGCUGUCACAGAACAGAAACUUGGUUGAACUUCCAAAAUCACAUCAAGUGAACUACCUAAACUUAUUAAAUAUAAAUCUUAGUUCCACCUGCUGUGUUCCAGGCUAGAAAUUGUCAGGUUUGGGAGUUCCCGUUGUGGUGCAGCAGAAAUGAAUCCGACUAGUAUCCAUGAGGAUAUGGGUUCAAUCCCUGGCCUCACUCAAUGGGUUCAUGAUCCAGCGUUGCCAUGAGCUGCGGUGUAUGUCACAAACAAGGCUUGGAGCCCAAGUUGCUGUGGCUGUGGCCGGCAGCUGUAGCUGGGAUUUGACCUCUAGCCUGGGAACUUCCAUAUGCCUUUUUUUUUAGGGUGCAGCCCUAAAAAAACAAACAAACAAAAAAACCACCAGUCAUGUUUUCAGUGAGAUACAAAAGAAACACAAUAGAAAGAUCCCAGCCCUUUGCUAUAUAGUUAAAUUGAAAUGGCUCUUCAAUUCCUCAUCUCAUACACACCCUUCACUACUAAAUCUGAUGCCUUCCACUCCCCGGACCCUCCUGCACCCUAAACUUCCAUUAUUUUAUUGUUACAUAUGUGAACCAAUCUUUAGAGAGAUUCUAGUAGGGGCUCAACUGACUUUGCCAAAUGACACCUUUUUGACCCUAAAUUAUUUUUUAUUGUGAUGCCUGACCACACUUCAACUUUUGUCCCACAGUAUCUUAAAGAUGUUAUGGCCCCUUGCAGAAGUGAAAGUAAUUCAACUAGAGCCAGAUAGGGGAGAAAGAGGACAGUGGGUGAAAGUAAGACGCCAAAUAACCACCUGCAAUCUAUUGAGUAUCUGUACUGUGCCAUGUGCUAUGCCCUCUGCUAAGAACAGGGCCGUGUUGAUGGAAAGUAAAGGACUGCUCUUCAACUCUUCAAGGAGCUCACAGUUUAGCUCAGACGACUAAAUUCGGUUAACCCCUGAACAACAUGGGUUUGAACUGUGCAGGUUCACUUAAUAUGCAGAUUUUUUUCAAUACAAUUCGCCUUUGGUAUCUGCAGAUGUGGAAACUGCAGAUAUGAAGGUCUACUACCGGCCUUGAGUGUGGUGGAUUUUGGUAUCAUUGGCAGGUCCCUGAACCAAUCCUCCGCAAAUCCGAAGGGAUGCCUGUAAUUAGAUAACAGGUCAGAUGGCGUUACGUGCUCUGAAAGGAUGUCCAACGUGUUUUAAAAAUCAAAAUGGAUAUUUGUUUUUCUCCUUGAAAAGAAAUGCCUUGUUGUUCAGACACACAGAGCACAGCAUUUAUUUCUAAAACAAAUAUACUAAUUACAAAGAGUCAAAAACUAUAGAAAUUAUAAAACAGAAACUUGCUAAAUUCUACCAUUCAUAGAAAACCACUCUUAUAAAUGCUGAGGUGUAUUCUUUUCUGCAUAUACUCACAUCUUUUUGCAAAAAAUGAACUCAAAUCACACAUGAUAUUUUGCUGUCUCCUGUGUUUUACUGAAUGAUUUCUAAGACCCUCUCUCUCUUUGAAGGGUAUAGAAUGACGUCAUCACGUAUAACGUCUGGUAUCGUUGUAUGACAGCAGAGUUACUUAUUUCACUCAUCCAGAUUGGACCUUCAUGUGUUUUCUAAUUUUUGUUAUUACUAUUGUAAAUACUUCUUCUUGAGAUGAAAAUUAUUCAAGUAUUGCUGGAUCUCAAGGUACCAUGCCAUUUAAAGUACCUGACAAGGCCUUAUCUUUUUUUUUUUUUCCCUUUUUUCAUCAGAAACUUUUAUUUCAAGUUAAAGUAUUUGGAGCAAAUCUGAUGUCUACUUUGGAGCUAUAUUUCUUCAUACAUUUGUUUUUUAAAUUUUGUAUGAUUGUUAUUGUUUUUAUUAUAGUUGAUUUAGUGUUCUGUCAAUUUCUACUGUACAAUAAAGUGACCCAGUUCUUUUUCUCACAUUAUCCUCCAUCAUGUUCCAUCAAAAGUGACUGGAUAUAGUUCCCUGUGCUAUAUUCUUAUUCUAGCUCCCUGAAUUGUGCACAUCAAGGGCAUGGAGAAAAUAGGGAUUUCUGAGAAAGGGUCUUGUCAGCUCAUCCCCUUCUUUAUUCUAAAAAAAUGAAAUAUAUGCUAAGCCUUUCACCAGAUUUGGUUCCUCAUAAACAUUGAAAAUGUGCUCAUACCUGUCAGAGAAGUGUUUUCCUGCAGCUGAAUCAGUGAUUUUAUCUAAAGUCAACAAAAUAUUCUAUUAUGUACGCCUGUAGGUUAGGAAUAGGACAAAAUGAUCGAUAUAUUGUAAUCAGUGUAUGUGUAAGUUAUUGAUAUAUUGACUAAAUUUAGAAGUUGCGAAGUGGUGACUGGUCUUUAUUGAAUAUGCUUAUGGUAUAAAAUGCUAUUACAAAUGUUGGCGAGUUUAGUAAUGCUCUAAUAGGAGAUUAAAACUAAUUCCAGUUAUCUUCUUUACCUAAAUAUAGUGUUAGGAUCCUUGAAUUGAAAGGUGCAAAAUUUGCUUUGUCAGAUUAUUCACAUUAUUUAUAGUAUUUUAAUCUAAGUGCUUCUUUAAUGAAUAAAUGAAGAACUGUAUCAUUCUCUAUCAUUCUUUGGCACCUGCAUGUAGGAGAAAAAAAAACUUCUGUAUGAGACAGAGAAGCAGCUUAUAUAUUCUAAAGGAACCAAGGUGGAGUGGAGAGGGAGGAGCUCAGAAAAAUCAAGAUCUUUCCUCAAAUUACCUGAACCACUCUUCUGCAAAACACUUGUCCUAUUUACACUGUUAAGUGGUAGGCUCUCAGGGACAGGAUCUGCAGUGGCAGAGGAAGUAGAGAUUUGAAUUGUCUCUAUUUUUGGAGGGAUCAGAACCCACUGCUGAGGCGGGGGGCGGGGGUGAUACUCGGAAGUAGAGAUUGCAAGUUAAGUUUUCACCCUGAGUUUUACAGUAAAGGUUAAAAGUCAGUUGUCCACAGCUUAUUAUUUGAGAUGAGGGAAAAAUUAAAUGGUUAGACAUAAAUAUAAAGUUAAUGCUUCUAACUAAAAAAAAGAGAGAAGAACUUGGAGUGAUAGGAAAGGUUCAGUUGGUGAGAUACUGCUGAGUAUUUCUCUGCAUGCUAAGUCCAUGUUGAAUGAAUGAGUGAUGUUUCAUGGUGCUGAGAGGGGAUAGUGGGUUUGAGAACCUGAAACUGAAUCUUCCUCUAAGUGUGGAUGUUCAGCUUUUGAAGGAAUAGAUCCAGAACAUGGAAGAAGAGUAAGGUAAGCUUAGUUUAGGGGAGAACAAAUAAGGAAAAAAUAAGCUCAGAGAGGAAGAGAGGAGAGAAUGAAAUAAUUACAAUGAAAACCCUGUGUGGGGAGUUCCCUUCAUGGCUCAGUGGUUAACAAACCUGACUAGGAUCCAGGAGGUUGCUGGUUCGAUCCCUGGCCUCGUUCAGUGGGUUAAGGAUCCUGUGUUGCCCCGAGCUGUGGUGUAGGUCACAGAUGCACCUCAGAAGUAGCUCCGAUUCAACCCCUGGCCUGGAAACUUCCAUAUGCCACGGGUGCGGCCCUAAAAAGCAAAAAAAAAAAAAAA